GGGUUGUGAGGUUAAGCGACUAAGCGUACACGGUGGAUGCCCUGGCAGUCAGAGGCGAUGAAGGACGUGCUAAUCUGCGAAAAGCGCCGGCGAGGUGAUAUGAACCUUUGACCCGGCGAUGUCCGAAUGGGGAAACCCAGUGUGUUCCGACACACUAUCGUUAACUGAAUACAUAGGUUAACGAGGCGAACCGGGGGAACUGAAACAUCUAAGUACCCCGAGGAAAAGAAAUCAACCGAGAUUCCCCCAGUAGCGGCGAGCGAACGGGGAGCAGCCCGGAGUCUUAAUCAGCUUGUGUGUUAGUGGAACGGUCUGGAAAGUCCGACGGUACAGGGUGAUAGUCCCGUACACGAAAAUGCACAGGCUGUGAACUCGAAGAGUAGGGCGGGACACGUGGUAUCCUGUCUGAAUAUGGGGGGACCAUCCUCCAAGGCUAAAUACUCCUGACUGACCGAUAGUGAACCAGUACCGUGAGGGAAAGGCGAAAAGAACCCCGGCGAGGGGAGUGAAAAAGAACCUGAAACCGUGUACGUACAAGCAGUGGGAGCCUACUUGUUAGGUGACUGCGUACCUUUUGUAUAAUGGGUCAGCGACUUAUAUUCUGUAGCAAGGUUAACCG
rnacentral:rRNA from 1 species